AAUCAACGCUGGCGGCGUGCCUCAGACAUGCAAGUCGAACGCGAAAUUUCCCCGGCAAGGGGAGAAAGUAGAGUGGCGCACGGGUGAGUAACACGUAGGUAAUUUGCCUUCGGGUGGGGAAGUAACAGCCGGAAACGGCUGCUAAUACCGCAUAAUGCAGCGGCUCGACAUCGAGACAGUUGUUAAAGGCGGGGAUUCGCAACGAACCUCGCGCCUGAAGAGAAGCCUGCGGCAGAUUAGCUAGUUGGUAGGGUAACGGCCUACCAAGGCAACGAUCUGUAG
rnacentral:rRNA from 1 species